UCUCUACUGCUUAGUAAUCAGCAUAUGCUUGUAACAAAGCAUGUCCGAGGUCAGAAAGAAUCACUCACAGGAUUAGAGGUUGACAGUGCUAUGAUCCUCCUUGUGUGUGUCUUUUGAAAUAAUGUACUCAGAUAUCAAAGCCUAGAGGAAAUUCUUUGUCAGAGUUGUUUGACCACCUCGGGAACAGUCCACUGAAAAUCUGAAAUUUAGGAAAAAUACUAUUUAGAGAGAGAGAGACAGAGCAUGAGCGGAGGAGGAGAAGAGAGAGAGGGAG